rnacentral:rRNA from 1 species
AGCAGCCGCGGUAAUUCCAGCUCCAAUAGCGUAUAUUAAAGUUGUUGCAGUUAAAAGCUCGUAGUUGAAUUUCGAGAUCAAAUUGUUGGUCGUGCCUUGGUACGCACUGGCAUUAUUGGUUUCUCCCUUCUGACGAACCAUGAUGUCAUUAAUUUGGUGUCAUGGGAAAUCAGGACUGUUACUUUGAAAAAUUGAGUGUUUAAAGCAGGCUCGCGCUUGAAUACAUUAGCAUGGAAUAAUGAAAUAGGACGUUUGAUUCUAUUUUGUUGGUUUCUAGGAUCGACGUAAUGAUUAAUAGGGAUAGUUGGGGGCAUUAGUAUUCAAUUGUCAGAGGUGAAAUUCUUGGAUUUAUUGAAGACUAACUACUGCGAAAGCAAUUUGCCAAGGAUGUUUUCAUUAAUCAAGAACGAAGUUAGGGAUCGAAGACGAUCAGAUACCGUCGUAGUCUUA